AUUGAACGCUGGCGGCAUGCCUUACACAUGCAAGUCGAACGGUAACAGGUCUUCGGAUGCUGACGAGUGGCGAACGGGUGAGUAAUACAUCGGAACGUGCCUAGUAGUGGGGGAUAACUACUCGAAAGAGUGGCUAAUACCGCAUGAGAUCUACGGAUGAAAGCAGGGGAUCGCAAGACCUUGUGCUACUAGAGCGGCCGAUGGCAGAUUAGGUAGUUGGUGGGAUAGAAGCUUACCAAGCCGACGAUCUGUAGCUGGUCUGAGAGGACGAUCAGCAACACUGUGAGUGGGAAACGGCCCAGACUCCUACGGGAGGCAGCAGUGGGGAAUUUUGGACAAUGUGCGCAAGCCUGAUCCAGCAAUGCCGCGUGCAGGAUGAAGGCCUUCGGGUUGUAAACUGCUUUUGUACGGAACGAAAAGCCCUGGGUUAAUACCCUGGGGUCAUGACGGUACCGUAAGAAUAAGCACCGGCUAACUACGUGCCAGCAGCCGCCGUAAGAC
rnacentral:rRNA from 1 species